CCGGAUUGGAGUCUGCAACUCGACUCCAUGAAGUCGGAAUCGCUAGUAAUCGUGGAUCAGAAUGCCACGGUGAAUACGUUCCCGGGCCUUGUACACACCGCCCGUCACACCAUGGGAGUGGGCUGCAAAAGAAGUAGGUAGUUUAACCUUCGGGGGGACGCUUACCACUUUGUGGUUCAUGACUGGGGUGAAGUCGUAACAAGGUAGCGCUAGGGGAACCUGGCGCUGGAUCACCUCCUUAAACGAUGAU
rnacentral:rRNA from 1 species